ensembl:lncRNA novel transcript
GAAGGGAUGAAGUGGCAGGAGAAAUGAAGUCUUCCUAACUCUGGCCUCCUGCUGCUACACAAGCCAGGCCAAUGAUGUGGCAAGUCCAAGGGGCACAUGGCUUUUCAGUGUCAUUGUUUGAGGAGGCCAUGAGUGGUUUAGCUGGUGGCCUCUGCUUCUUUUUCUUUUGAGUGCUUCUGAAUACAUGACUGUGCUCUGAAUACAGAGCUACCACUGCGGGGUAAACCAAGCCACAGCUGUCCUCUUCCAAGGUUAGGGUCGCUGCUCAGCAGGAGCUGAUGUGCUACAAGGAAUGAUGAUCUUCUACUGCAGGGAUGGUGAUGGCCGGUUGAAGUGUUGACUGAGCUUGGAGCCAGGUGCACGGUGGCUGCUAGGCGCCUUCACUCCAUCCUGGAACAGCAGGAGAAAGUGCCUCAUGAAGUUCGGAAGAAAUAAAGGGAACCUAAGCAUGUUGCAGGGCUGCUUUAUCUCACAAAAAGCACAUCAACAGCAUCUGCUCUUCAACAGGACAACAGAACCAGGCCUCCUGACUGCCCCUCCCUGCGCUCCGGGCCUGCAGAAGGCGCCUGAUGUGACUUCGCAUUAUUUUGAAGCUGGAAAGGCAGACAUUUUAAGCCCUAAAGAGGUUUUGCCUUCUGAGGGCUGUUAAAAUUGACUACGCUAUAUGAAAUCAACAUGCUGGAACAUAAUAAUGAGGACAAUGAGGCAUUCAGGGAAAUCAUCAAUAUCAACAGACAACAGAAUAUUAUCCUAAGAUGUUGUUGUAGGUUACAUUGUGCCUCACAGAAAGAUGUAUUGAAGUCCUAAUCCCCAGUUUCUGUGAGUGUGGCCUUAUUUGGAAAUAGAGUCUCUGCAGAUGUAAUCAAGUUAAGACAAGGUCAUCGUGAAUUAGGUGUCCAAUGAUUGAUGUCCUUAUGAGAAGAGAGGGAGAUUUGAAUACAGACACAGAGACACAAACGGAGGGAAGAAGGCUGGUGACUGAGUCCUCGUCCCCCAUCUCCUAUGCCUGCACAGAGGAGAACUCUUUGUAAACAUCAAGUGUCAUGACCAUCAGCCCCUGGAAAACAUCUGGUCUGCCUUCACUAGAGGACCAUUUUCAAUUACUUUGGGGAUAAGAAGAUUGGCCCUGAUGGAAAGUGAAUUGCUCAUGAGAUCCAGUCAAUGAAAGAAAAAAAGAAAACUGUACUUUAGCUCAGGAACUAGAAUAAAGUUUCCAAAAAA